CUCUAGCUACUAUUAAUAGCUCAACUUGAGUAGCUGCGUCCACAACAUAUAUACUCCUUCCCUUAAAGCUAGAUUCCUCUAUUUGACUCUUUAUGGUUUCUAAGACACAACUUAAAAUAUAAGGGGCGGAGAAAGCAGUAUAUAUACUCAAUAAUACCCUUUACCUUUGUUAGGAAGAUAACCCAUAAACCGUUCUCGUAGUUCUAAACAAAACCCUUAUAAUUAAUCAUCCAACAAUUAAUUAAACACCUUAACAAAUUAAUUAGAUCCAUAUAGAUCUAAAAAUGGAUAUGGGGUUUCUUCAUCGUCUUGUUGAAGAAAGCAAAAAGCAAAUGAAUGAUGCAAUAGAAAAGCUAGAAGAACAGAAGAGAAAAGAAAAGCUUAAUCAAGGAUCAAGUAGUAGUCAUAAAUGGCGGAUGAUCAAGCUCGAGCAAGCUUAGAGCGUGGCAAGAAGAUGAAUACGGUUGGGAUGAACACUCGUUUUGAGUGGGUAGAAGAGCAAGACAAUGGCGGCUUUGGGAGCAUUUGAUGGAUACAUAACAAAAGAUUUUCAAUACUCCAGGGGAGAGGCCAUUUAUCAAAGAGGAGGUGCAUGAAGUUCGAGACAAGUGCGCUACUUAAUUCACCGAUUGUAAAAUACCCUCGUUGUAAAUUGAACAAGCUAGUAGUUAUCCGUGACUCUAAACUUACUUUGUUAUUUAUUGAUUUAAUUACAUUUGAAUUAAUGUGGUAAUAUUAUUGAAACUUGAAAUAUAUCUAAUUUUUUAGGAA